GCUUGCUCCCUGGGUGACGAGCGGCGGACGGUUUGAGCUAAUGUCUGGAUAAACUGCCUGAUGGAGGGGGAUAACUACUGGAAACGGUAGCUAAUACCGAAUAACGUCGCAAGACCAAAGAGCGGGGCACCUUCGGGCCUCUUGCCAUCAGAUGUGCCCAGAUGGGAUUAGCUAGUAGGUGGGGUAAUGGCUCACCUAGGCGACGAUCCCUAGCUGGUCUGAGAGGAUGACCAGCCACACUGGAACUGAGACACGGUCCAGACUCCUACGGGAGGCAGCAGUGGGGAAUAUUGCACAAUGGGCGCAAGCCUGAUGCAGCCAUGCCGCGUGUGUGAAGAAGGCCUUCGGGUUGUAAAGCACUUUCAGCGAGGAGGAAGGUGGUGAACUUAAUACGCUCAUCAAUUGACGUUACUCGCAGAAGAAGCACCGGCUAACUCCGUGCCAGCAGCCGCGGUAAUACGGAGGGUGCAAGCGUUAAUCGGAAUUACUGGGCGUAAAGCGCACGCAGGCGGUUUGUUAAGUCAGAUGUGAAAUCCCCGGGCUCAACCUGGGAACUGCAUUUGAAACUGGCAAGCUAGAGUCUCGUAGAGGGGGGUAGAAUUCCAGGUGUAGCGGUGAAAUGCGUAAAGAUCUGGAGGAAUACCGGUGGCGAAGGCGGCCCCCUGGACGAAAACUGACGCUCAGGUGCGAAAGCGUGG
rnacentral:rRNA from 1 species